rnacentral:rRNA from 1 species
AUUGAACGCUGGCGGCAGGCCUAACACAUGCAAGUCGAGCGGAUGAAGGGAGCUUGCUCCUGGAUUCAGCGGCGGACGGGUGAGUAAUGCCUAGGAAUCUGCCUGGUAGUGGGGAGAACGUCCCGAAACGGGCGCCAAUUCCGCAUACGUACGGAGGGAGAAAGCGGGGGAACCUCGGACCCCAAGCUUUCAGAAGAGCCUAGGUCGGAUUAGCUAGUUGGUUGGGUAAAGGCCUACCAAGGCGAGGAUUCGUAACUGGUCCGAGAGGAUGAUCAGUCACACGGGAACUGAGACACGGUCCAGACUCCUACGGGAGGCAGCAGUGGGGAAUAUUGGACAAUGGGCGAAAGCCUGAUCCAGCCAUGCCGAGUGUGUGAAGAAGGUCUUCGGAUUGUAAAGCACUUUAAGUUGGGAGGAAGGGCAGUAAGUUAAUACCUUGCUGUUUUGACGUUACCAACAGAAUAAGCACCGGCUAACUUCGUG